AUAGCACUGUGGAUGCUAUCAAGUCAUUCUCUUUAGCGUGUAUUUACAAAUAGCUUGGGUACAAAGAGAUGUUUUUUUUUUCCCCAGGGAUGUAAAAUUCAUUCAUUCCAAGCUUCUACUGAAGAGAUGACAACCAAUAAGAAGGAUGAAAAAGAUUUACAUAAAUAUGCUUUAAAAUGUUGGGAUGGAGUUGGAGGAGAAGAUGUUGACUUGCCAGUGAUGAUGGACUUUGGCUCAUUCCCAUGAGGAAAGAAGUGAAAAGUGAUGCUGUGUUGUAGACUUCUGAAAGUCUAAGGAUGCCUCUCCUGUCCCAGUGCUGCUUCAUCAGAGACCAGAAGCCAUCAAGAAACAAAUGUAUGAAUAAGGAAAACUAAGAUUGGAUUCAGCUCUUUAACAGCAGCUCCCCAAGAUCCUGACCAAAGGGAGAAGUUUCAGCUGAAUGUCUUUAUCUUUUAGUACGCAAGUAAAACUACAGUGUUCAAUCAAUUAGAGGAAAAAUACUUCAUCGACAAUCCAGUCAAUUAAUUGAACCACUCUAAAUGGGAUUGGGCAAGCAUAUUUACAAUGUGAGCAGCACUAUAGGAAAAUUAUAAAUUCACUUACAUUACAAUCAAUUAAUUAAAGAUGGCUGAUUCCCACUCUGUAAUUAUGUUCAAUCAUGGUCAGUCAAUACAAUUUUCUGUCCAUUCUCACUAUGUAUCAAGCAAAUGAGUUAUAUAACUUAAGUGAUUAAAGACUUAAUGGACUGUCAUGUGAGGUGCAAUGUGUAAAGUAAUGGGGGGAAAAAAAAGCAGCAAAAUAUUGGAAAUGGAAUAAGAGUAUGAAGGCAGCACUGUGGAGUGGUAACAGAUCACCAAUGAUUAAAGCUGUGCUUCUAUCACCGGCUCCCAACAGAAAGCGCUACAGUUUAUGAAGACACAACUGGAAUUAAAAAAUUCAAACUCAUGAUUAUCAUGGUGGGAUUCUAUGCUAUGCCAUCAAAAUAAAACAAA